GGGCUUGUAAUGGUUUCGACGGGGAUUCUGAAGUCUGGGCAGCCAUCCGUGGACCGUGGCCACGUAAAAAAACGGAACUUAAAUAUAAACGCUGAAGAUAAUUUCGCGUACGCUGCCUGAUUAGGCGGCUGCCGGCCGGAGGUUGCUCACAGCCUGCGAUACCGGUAUUAUGAACUGUGAGGAACUACCCUGCCAAAGCUUUGAGGCGGGAGUAGAUUUGAUGAAGCUACUGAAAGCGGAAGCCCGCUGCCGGGCGUCUGCCGGAGGGAAUGAAAAAUCGGCGGCUGUGAUGGAAGACACCUGGAUGGACGGGUUUUCGGACGGGGGUUCGAUUCCCCCCAGGUCCAC
rnacentral:tmRNA from 1 species